GGACAUCAGAGCAGCUCUGCACUAUCACACAUGUUGUAGCGGUUUGACCCGUGAAGCUCAGAAAUCUGAUCAGGUUGCAGAGUGUGUGCACUGUGCAGCGUGCCUGUCUGCACGCACACAUUUUCUAUUUCCAGUCUGUCAGUGCAAGAGAGUGCUGAGGGUUUAAACCACAGGGGCUUGUGAUCUGUGAAGAGGCAGAGCCUGAAAAGAAGUGGUUCUGAAAGCAUGACGGACACUGGCUGCAGUGGCUACAGCUGGUUGUGGUUUUAUUUUAAGGCAGAGUGAACAUGAAGGAGGAAUCUCUGUCUGUGUUGUUUGUUUGGGGUCGCAGGAAAUUGGAUGGCGAGAAACCGUCUGAUGGCUUCCUUCAUCUCGGAUUGUCUGGGUCUCUCCAGUCCCUGACAGG